rnacentral:rRNA from 1 species
GACGAACGCUGGCGGCGUGCUUAACACAUGCAAGUCGAACGGUGAAGCGCCUUCCUUUUUGGUGGGUGUGGAUGAGUGGCGAACGGGUGAGUAACACGUGAGUAACCUGCCCCCUUCUUCUGGAUAACCGCAUGAAAGUGUGGCUAAUACGGGAUAUUCUGGGUCUGUCGCAUGAUGGGUCUGGGAAAGAUAUUGUUUCGGUGGGGGAUGGGCUCGCGGCCUAUCAGCUUGUUGGUGGGGAGAUGGCCUACCAAGGCGGUGACGGGUAGCCGGCCUGAGAGGGUGGACGGUCACACGGGGACUGAGACACGGCCCAGACUCCUACGGGAGGCAGCAGUGGGGAAUAUUGCACAAUGGGCGCAAGCCUGAUGCAGCGACGCCGCGUGAGGGAUGGAGGCCUUCGGGUUGUGAACCUCUUUCGCCAGUGAAGCAGGCCUGCCUCGUUUGUGGGUGGGUUGACGGUAGCUGGAUAAGAAGCGCCGGCUAACUACGUG